rnacentral:rRNA from 1 species
AUUGAACGCUGGCGGCAGGCUUAACACAUGCAAGUCGAGCGGAGAUGAGGUGCUUGCACCUUAUCUUAGCGGCGGACGGGUGAGUAAUGCUUAGGAAUCUGCCUAUUAGUGGGGGACAACAUUCCGAAAGGAAUGCUAAUACCGCAUACGCCCUACGGGGGAAAGCGGGGGAUCUUCGGACCUUGCGCUAAUAGAUGAGCCUAAGUCGGAUUAGCUAGUUGGUGGGGUAAAGGCCUACCAAGGCGACGAUCUGUAGCGGGUCUGAGAGGAUGAUCCGCCACACUGGGACUGAGACACAGCCCAGACUCCUACGGGAGGCAGCAGUGGGGAAGAUUGGACAAUGGGCGGAAGCCUGAUCCAGCCAUGCCGCGUGUGUGAAGAAGGCCUUUUGGUUGUAAAGCACUUUAAGCGAGGAGGAGGCUACCUGGAUUAAUACUCUAGGAUAGUGGACGUUACUCGCAGAAUAAGCACCGGCUAACUCUGUGCCAGCCGCCGCCGUAACAC